rnacentral:lncRNA from 1 species
GUCCAAACAAAAUGUGCUACUUCAGGAACAUUCUCUUCCUAUGUGGACUUUGCUGCUGAGUCAGUGUGGGACCUUGAAUAAGUCUCUGUUUGUUUUGUACCAUUCAGAUUUCCUCGUCUGUAAACAUUAAGCAUCUACAUUCCCUAAAAGCAGUUCUGAAUGAAUGUUAUUUAAUGGUGCCAAUGAUGUUGGAGACACCCUGUGCCCUAUUGGUUCCUGGGCUCGGACUGUUGAUGCAGCUAUUUCUAUUUGGUUAUGGACUCAAUCACUGCAGUCGCAAUCAAAAGAUGGCUUGCGUUGGAACCUGGAACCUGCUAAUCCUGUCGCGCAACCUGUGAUUUUGGAAGUGAAGGGGAAAAAAAAAGAAAAGAAAAAAGGGAAAAUUUCACAUAAAACUUCCAGAUGAGGAAGAAGAUGGAAACUUUUGUGUUGUGCAUUCUGUAACGUGUACUUUCAUAAGCAGAUGGCAAAGAAAGAAAGCCUGAGAAUCUGGCCCGACGUUUUCCUUUCAGAACCCUGCAUUUCCCACAUUGAGGAGAUACAGCACAUCCACUGCAUGGUAGACCCAGCUUGCUCUCACAGUCGUUGUGCAAAUAAACAUACAUGCGGCAAGGCAGUGCAGUUUUCAGUUGUUAAAAGUUGUGUCAUUCCACGAGAUGGAGCAUAGGACAAAUGAUGAUGUAAACAGGCAACAGGACUCUGACUCCACACCUCUCUCUGCACAGAGGAUGCUCAGUCCUUAUACCACAAAAUGUGAGGUGCUUCUGGCCACCUCCUGGCCCUGAUGCCUGAGCUCUGUGCUCACCCUGCUAGAGCUCCUGGCAGUUUUCUGAGCAGGUUGUACCUGUCCGGAGUGAUCAUCUCCACUUAAUGUUAGACAUUAAGUUCCCUGUGAAAUCUGUUUUGACUCACUGAGGUUACGAACACUUUAUCACAACUAUCAUCAUAUACUAUUAAAUCUCCAAUUUUCUUGUCUCUGUUACUAGACUGUGAGCUCCUUGAAGGCUGGACCUGGGUUUGGCACUGAGUGGCACUCAGCACAUACUUCUUGAAUAAGAGAAUGUAUGUACACAGUGGCAUGAAAUUGAUUUGGUUUUGUCGGUUUUCUUAAGUGCUCAAGUUGUAGACAGUUCAGUAAAAACUAUAAAGCGGUUACCCUGUAAACCAUGAGUACUAUUAAUUGGAACCGCCUUUCUUACAUAUCCACUUGUGUUUCUGUUAAUGUUUCCAAAAUAAAUAAAGAGCAGGCUAGAGGGAAAUCUCCAGUCCUUAGAAACCAUGGUACGAGAAUACAUCUGUAUUUGCACUCUGAGCGAGAGACUUCCUCUUGUUGUAUAUGUUUCAUCAAGAGAUCUGGGAAAAAUUAGCCUUGUACCAGGAUCUGAACUAUAGUUUGAAAGUGUUUAAUGGGUACCAAUGUUAAUGUCAUCAUUUUUGAACUAUAUACAGUACAUUUUAAACACUUUCCUUCCGUUCCAUUUUAUACUUUCAUUAUGUUUGCCAGCAUUGGGCAGUUGGUUGCAUUUAUUGAAGUUUGAAUAAAAAGAUCUAAGAUGAGUUACCCAAAAUACCUACUAAACACAUCUUGCAAGAUUGGUCAAUAAUAAUUUUUAUAUUAGAGACUCCUCUCUCUAUA